GCUCUUGUCAAAUCACAGGCAAUAAGGUUUUAACUAUUAAUAAGCAAGAUGGGCUCUAUAAGUUGAAAGUGGAUGAGCAAACUCGACCUGACCCCCAAUUAGGCAACUCUAUGUCCCUGCAUAGGCAAGGAUCCAUGAGUGCCAAUGCUGCUGACGCUGUGCCUUACUCUAUUAUGCAUAAGCGUCUUGGUCAUUUGAACCAGCAAGGUAUGUCGGUAUUAGGUGGAGGGAAUAAGUGUAGUGUCGUAUUUCAGGCUGAAGACGGCAUUCCUGCACAGUGCAUCGCCUGCCUUACCGGGAAGAUGUGUGAAACAUCGUUUCCGCGGUCAAGUGCGGGGCGUGCUGCUAACCUUCUGGACCUGGUGCAUAGUGACAUCGCCGGACCGGUUCAUGUACCCAGCUGGGGCGGAGCUCGGUAUUUGCUAACAUUCACCGACGACAAGUCAAGACGCACCUUUGGCUAUCUACUGAAGAACAAGUCUGAGAGGAGGCGGCAAGCACACCAGUGCAAUCACCCCUGUCUGAGCUGUAUCGCACAACUGAAGACGCCACUGAGGAUAGCGGCGAGGCUGUGGUGCUGUCUAGCCCUGUCACCUCACCACUGCAACCCUCUGCAUCUUCAGAUUAUGAGCCAAUGUUGGCGGAAGUGGAAGAGUCUGCUGUUCCAACCAACUCUAGGCCAGUGCGGAGUACGCGAGGUAUAUUUCCUGAAAGGUAUAAUGAUUUCCAUAUUGAUUCUCUGAUGGCUACAGCAAG